CUUGGUCAUUUAGAGGAAGUAAAAGUCGUAACAAGGUUUCCGUAGGUGAACCUGCGGAAGGAUCAUUAGAGAGACAUUGCCCUUCGGGGUACAUCUCCCACCCUGAUUACCAUACCUGGUUGCUUUGGCGGGUGACACGGCUCCGGCCGACGUCCGCCAGAGGACAUCAAACUCCAGUCAACUGUCGUCAGAGAAACAAUACAAUAUUUAAAACUUUCAACAACGGAUCUCUUGGUUCUGGCAUCGAUGAAGAACGCAGCGAAAUGCGAUACGUAAUGUGAAUUGCAAUUUUUAGUGAACCAUCGAAUCUUUGAACGCACAUUGCGCCCUCUGGUAUUCCGGGGGGCAUGCCUGUUCGAGCGUCAUUACAACCCUCAAGCUCUGCUUGGUAUUGGGCCCGCGACCUCCGGGUCGGCCCCAAAGACAUCGGCGGUGCCCGGCGUAGCCCUGGAGCGUAGUAAAACACCUCGUUCCUCAGGAUGCCCGUGGCUGCCUGCCUCGUACACAUACAUAUACCGGUUGACCUCGGAUCAGGUAGGGAUACCCGCUGAACUUAAGCAUAUCAAUAAGCGGAGGAA
rnacentral:rRNA from 1 species